rnacentral:rRNA from 1 species
GACGAACGCUGGCGGCGUGCUUAACACAUGCAAGUCGAACGGAAAGGCCCCUUUGGGGGUACUCGAGUGGCGAACGGGUGAGUAACACGUGAGUAACCUGCCCUUGACUUCGGGAUAACUUCAGGAAACUGGGGCUAAUACCGGAUAGGAAUCCUUGCUGCAUGGUGGGGGUUGGAAAGCUUCGGCGGUUUUGGAUGGACUCGCGGCUUAUCUGCUUGUUGGUGGGGUAGUGGCUUACCAAGGCUUUGACGGGUAGCCGGCCUGAGAGGGCGACCGGCCACAUUGGGACUGAGGGACGGCCCAGACUCCUACGGGAGGCAGCAGUGGGGAAUAUUGCACGAUGGGCGGAGGCCUAAUGCAGCAACGCCGCGGACGGGAUGACGGCCUUCGGGUUGUAAACCGCUUGCGGCAGGGGCGAAGCUUGUGGUGACGGUACCUGCAGAAGAAGCACCGGCUAACUACGUG